rnacentral:rRNA from 1 species
CCUGUGACAAAUGUUCAACGGCCGCGGUAUUUUGACCGUGCAAAGGUAGCGUAAUCACUUGUCUUUUAAAUGAAGACCUGUAUGAAUGGCAUAACGAGGGCUUAACUGUCUCCUUUUUCAGGUCAAUGAAAUUGAUCUCUCCGUGCAGAAGCGGGGAUAAUAACAUAAGACGAGAAGACCCUAUGGAGCUUUAGACACCAAAGCAGAUCUUGUUAAAAACCCCACAACAAAGGGAUAAACCAAAAGAAGCCUGCCCUAUUGUCUUUGGUUGGGGCGACCGUGGGGAAAUAAAUAACCCCCAUAUGGACUGAGAAUACUAUUCUUAAAAACAAGAGCCACAGCUCUAGUUAGCAGAAAUUCUGACCUUCAGAUCCGGCAAUGCCGAUCAAUGGACCGAGUUACCCUAGGGAUAACAGCGCAAUCCUCUUUUAGAGCCCAUAUCGACAAGAGGGUUUACGACCUCGAUGUUGGAUCAGGACAUCCUAAUGGUGCAGCCGCUAUUAAGGGUUCGUUUGUUCAACGAUUAAAGUCCUACGUGAUCUGAGUUCAGACCGG